rnacentral:rRNA from 1 species
UACGUAGGGGGCAAGCGUUGUCCGGAUUUAUUGGGCGUAAAGAGCGUGUAGGCGGCUAUGCAGGUCCGCUGUGAAAACUCGAGGCUCAACCUCGAGACGUCGGUGGAAACCGCCAUGGCUAGAGUCCGGAAGAGGAGAGUGGAAUUCCCGGUGUAGCGGUGAAAUGCGCAGAUAUCGGGAAGAACACCCGUGGCGAAGGCGGCUCUCUGGGACGGUACUGACGCUGAGACGCGAAAGCGUGGGGAGCGAACGAGG